rnacentral:rRNA from 1 species
AAAUCCCGAAAAAGUACGUCUCAGUUCAGAUUGCAGGCUGAAACUCGCCUGCAUGAAGUCGGAAUUGCUAGUAAUCGCGAAUCAGCAUGUCGCGGUGAAUACGUUCCCGGGCCUUGUACACACCGCCCGUCAAACCAUGAGAGUUGGAAAUACCCGAAGUCUGUUGUCUAACCGCAAGGGGGAUGCAGCCGAAGGUAGGUUCAAUGAUUGGGGUUAAGUCGUAACAAGGUAGC